rnacentral:rRNA from 1 species
UCGAGGGGUAUGCUUCUUCGGAAGCAGAGACCGGCGCACGGGUGCGUAACGCGUAUGCAAUCUACCUUUUACAGAGGGAUAGCCCAGAGAAAUUUGGAUUAAUACCUCAUAGCAUUGCAGGAUGGCAUCAUCCAGCAAUUAAAGUCACAACGGUAAAAGAUGAGCAUGCGUCCCAUUAGCUAGUUGGUAAGGUAACGGCUUACCAAGGCUACGAUGGGUAGGGGUCCUGAGAGGGAGAUCCCCCACACUGGUACUGAGACACGGACCAGACUCCUACGGGAGGCAGCAGUGAGGAAUAUUGGACAAUGGGCGCAAGCCUGAUCCAGCCAUGCCGCGUGCAGGAUGACGGUCCUAUGGAUUGUAAACUGCUUUUAUACGAGAAGAAACACUACUUCGUGAAGUAGCUUGACGGUAUCGUAAGAAUAAGGAUCGGCUAACUCCGUGCCAGCAGCCGCGGUAAUACGGAGGAUCCAAGCGUUAUCCGGAAUCAUUGGGUUUAAAGGGUCCGUAGGCGGUUUAAUAAGUCAGUGGUGAAAGCCCAUCGCUCAACGGUGGAACGGCCAUUGAUACUGUUAAACUUGAAUUAUUAGGAAGUAACUAGAAUAUGUAGUGUAGCGGUGAAAUGCUUAGAGAUUACAUGGAAUACCAAUUGCGAAGGCAGGUUACUACUAAUGGAUUGACGCUGAUGGACGAAAGCGUGGGUAGCGAACAGGAUUAGAUACCCUGGUAGUCCACGCCGUAAACGAUGGAUACUAGCUGUUGGAAGCAAUUUCAGUGGCUAAGCGAAAGUGAUAAGUAUCCCACCUGGGGAGUACGUUCGCAAGAAUGAAACUCAAAGGAAUUGACGGGGGCCCGCACAAGCGGUGGAGCAUGUGGUUUAAUUCGAUGAUACGCGAGGAACCUUACCAAGGCUUAAAUGUAGAUUGACCGGUUUGGAAACAGAUCUUUCGCAAGACAAUUUACAAGGUGCU